UCCUGCUGUUCCUCCUCUGAAACCUCAUGCAUUUGCUUUAAUCGACAGACAGCUGAAAAGUGUCCUCUCCUGUGACAUGUCCUGCAUUCCGCAUCCUUUGCUGGGCAAUCUUUCCAUCUGUGGAAAGGGGAUUUCCCACAUUUGCGACAAAUAUUUGAACUAGCUACUGUUGCGGUCUGUGAUUGUUUUCUCCACUCUGUCUCUGUUCUGUGUUCCCCUCCAUUUUUUUUAGCUCUGUAUGAAAAUGCAUGUAUUUCCUCACUCUCUUCGUUCUGCAAGGAGCUGCUGUCGCGCAGUAUCGUCUGCUGUCUUUUUACUGUCUCACUCUGCCUCACCUGGUUUACAGCUUUGGACAAGGUACGUAUGCCCCCAAGGGACAUCCUACUACACCUACCAUGCGGUAUAAGUGUUUGGAGUUCGUUGGUCCCCAAUGGUGAUGUGCAUGUGGGACCAGGGAUUGUCACAGACCCAUCUCCUUGUCACUAGAAGGAGAAUCUUGUGGUGCAGACCUAGUGACCGACUGGGUCACUGAAGAGGCUUGCAUGCUUAUGUGUGCAUUUCAAGUAUGAGCAUGUGUGUGCAUUUAAUCGUG